UACGUCGGGGGCAAGCGUUGUCCGGAUUUAUUGGGCGUAAAGAGCGUGUAGGCGGCCUGGUAGGUCAGCUGUGAAAACUCGAGGCUCAACCUCGAGACGCCGGUUGAAACCAUCAGGCUAGAGUCCGGAAGAGGAGAGUGGAAUUCCCGGUGUAGCGGUGAAAUGCGCAGAUAUCGGGAAGAACACCCGUGGCUAAGGCGGCUCUCUAGUACGGUACUGACGCUGAGACGCGAAAGCGUGGGGAGCGAACAGG
rnacentral:rRNA from 1 species